rnacentral:rRNA from 1 species
UACGGGGGGAGCAAGCGUUGUUCGGAUUUACUGGGCGUAAAGGGCGCGUAGGCGGCCAGCACAAGUCAGUUGUGAAAUCUCCGAGCUUAACUCGGAAAGGUCAACUGAUACUGUGCGGCUAGAGCGCGGAAGGGGCAACUGGAAUUCUUGGUGUAGCGGUGAAAUGCGUAGAUAUCAAGAGGAACACCUGCGGCGAAGGCGGGUUGCUGGGCCGACACUGACGCUGAGGCGCGAAAGGCAGGGGAGCGAACGGG